UAGAGACCGGCGCACGGGUGCGUAACGCGUAUGCAAUCUACCUUUCACAGAGGGAUAGCCCAGAGAAAUUUGGAUUAAUACCUCAUAGUAUAACGACUCGGCAUCGAGAUGUUAUUAAAGUCACAACGGUGAAAGAUGAGCAUGCGUCCCAUUAGCUAGUUGGUAAGGUAACGGCUUACCAAGGCUACGAUGGGUAGGGGUCCUGAGAGGGAGAUCCCCCACACUGGUACUGAGACACGGACCAGACUCCUACGGGAGGCAGCAGUGAGGAAUAUUGGUCAAUGGACGCAAGUCUGAACCAGCCAUGCCGCGUGCAGGAUGACGGUCCUAUGGAUUGUAAACUGCUUUUGCACAGGAAGAAACAACGCUACGUGUAGCGUCUUGACGGUACUGUGAGAAUAAGGGUCGGCUAACUCCGUGCCAGCAGCCGCGGUAAUACGGAGGAUCCAAGCGUUAUCCGGAAUCAUUGGGUUUAAAGGGUCCGUAGGCGGUUUAGUAAGUCAGUGGUGAAAGCCCAUCGCUCAACGGUGGAACGGCCAUUGAUACUGCUAGACUUGAAUUAUUAGGAAGUAACUAGAAUAUGUAGUGUAGCGGUGAAAUGCUUAGAGAUUACACGGAAUACCAAUUGCGAAGGCAGGUUACUACUAAUGGAUUGACGCUGAUGGACGAAAGCGUGGGUAGCGAACAGGAUUAGAUACCCUGGUAGUCCACGCCGUAAACGAUGGAUACUAGCUGUUGGGAGCAAUUUCAGUGGCUAAGCGAAAGUGAUAAGUAUCCCACCUGGGGAGUACGUUCGC
rnacentral:rRNA from 1 species